rnacentral:rRNA from 1 species
UAGGGAAUCUUCCACAAUGGACGCAAGUCUGAUGGAGCAACGCCGCGUGAGUGAAGAAGGUUCUCGGACCGUAAAGCUCUGUUGUUGGUGAAGAAGGAUAGAGGUAGUAACUGGCCUUUAUUUGACGGUAAUCAACCAGAAAGUCACGGCUAACUACGUGCCAGCAGCCGUGGUAAUACGUAGGUGGCAAGCGUUGUCCGGAUUUAUUGGGCGUAAAGCGAGCGCAGGCGGAAGAAUAAGUCUGAUGUGAAAGCCCUCGGCUUAACCGAGGAAUUGCAUCGGAAACUGUUUUUCUUGAGUGCAGAAGAGGAGAGUAGAACUCCAUGUGUAGCGGUGGAAUGCGUAGAUAUAUGGAAGAAUACCAGUGGCGAAGGCGGCUCUCUGGUCUGCAACUGACGCUGAGGCUCGAAAGCAUGGGUAGCGAACAGGAUUAGAUACCCUGGUAGUCCAUGCCGUAAACGAUGAGUGCUAAGUGUUGGGAGGCUUCCGCCUCUCAGUGCUGCAGCUAACGCAUUAAGCACUCCGCCUGGGGGAGUACGACCGCAAGGUUGAA